rnacentral:rRNA from 1 species
GAUGAACGCUGGCGGCGUGCCUAAUACAUGCAAGUCGAGCGAACGGACGAGAAGCUUGCUUCUCUGAUGUUAGCGGCGGACGGGUGAGUAACACGUGGAUAACCUACCUAUAAGACUGGGAUAACUUCGGGAAACCGGAGCUAAUACCGGAUAAUCUUUUGAACCGCAUGGUUCAAAAGUGAAAGACGGUCUUGCUGUCACUUAUAGAUGGAUCCGCGCUGCAUUAGCUAGUUGGUAAGGUAACGGCUUACCACGGCAACGAUGCAUAGCCGACCUGAGAGGGUGAUCGGCCACACUGGAACUGAGACACGGUCCAGACUCCUACGGGAGGCAGCAGUAGGGAAUCUUCCGCAAUGGGCGAAAGCCUGACGGAGCAACGCCGCGUGAGUGAUGAAGGUCUUCGGAUCGUAAAACUCUGUUAUUAGGGAAGAACAUAUGUGUAAGUAACUGUGCACAUCUUGACGGUACCUAAUCAGAAAGCCACGGCUAACUACGUG